CUUCAAUCGUAGGAAAACUCCAAGGGCGAAAAGUAUAAAGCUGGGGCAAAUGAUCUCGACGUCCAUAUUGCAAUGCAGAUCCAAUUAAUUAACAGGAAAGUUCGCACAACGCCUACAGAUAAAGUCAAGUCGUCUUCUUGGUUCUUCUGCAUAUCUAACACUAUAGCAAUCGAACUCUGUACAACUUCAACCAGGUAUUAGAUUUAAAGCUGUAUAGUCGUGAGCAUCUUGCUGCUAUUGAUCCAAAAUUUGAAAGGCAUCGCCCAUUCGAUCAAUGGAUGUCUUGUACAAUAGAAUGUCCACAACAAUAAGCCAGCCUUGACUGCGGUUUCUUUGUGAUCCAAUACAUUCGAUGUAUUCUGUACGGAAUGAAGAUGGACUUCAAGCAAUGAGACAUGAAAUCAAUUUUGAGGGAUAAGUUUUGUAAAACAUUGGAUUAAAUAGCCUUAGUGUUGUAAGGUAAAAAGUUGGUGGGCAAUGUAAAGGUACAAUUACUUAGUGUUUGUAGUUUUAUAUGUGUGUAUGUAGUCUAUGUGGUUUAAUACAAUGGUAUGUAUGAUAUGAGAAGGGUACACUAAACUGUCACAAGAAUAAUACAGUGGUACAAUGUUUACAUCGAAAUUUAAAUUAGGCAUGUAAAUAUGCAAAUCCAAAGUAAAUAUGGUUUGAGUAAAAAAAAAAUUGUUAUCCUGGUAACUCCAAGCUUCACCUGUUAUGUGCCAAAUGGCACGGAGCAAGAACUUUUAAUUCAGGGUGUAUAAAUAAAUUUUGACACCAUAUAUAGCUCCUCCCCUCUCAAACCUUCACAGGGAAGGUGAUUUCAAGUAAA